rnacentral:lncRNA from 1 species
GUUCUUUCAAAUUUUAGCUUCUUUGUUUCUUCACCAGUUCUCCAGUGAUCCUAUCCUCUACCUCAUCCUAGUUACCAUGCCCUCGUCAGACCAUGGACUUUAUCAACACCAGCAAUAUUAAUCUCAACUUGAGGCAUGUUACUCAUUCUGAAACAACUCUUCUAGCUUGCAGCACAUUCCCUCUAGUCCUCCAGCUACCCUUUUUAUUACAAAUGCUUUCUUGCCCCACAUGCAUCUUCAACUACUCUGUCACCUUCUUUCUUCCCUGUACUUCCUUGGGAAAACUAAAAUUAUAUUUAUAUUCAAACUCUCAAAAUUCUGCUUUUUGUUUGCAUCCAUGCAGUUGAACAUUGCUGGAAACAAUCAAGGAUGCUGACUGGUUUCAUUUUAUCUCAUAAUUACUAGCCUUAUGUAGGCCCUUAAAGUCCUUAACUACUCUAUUUCAUUAAUUCUAAAACAUAACACAUUCUCAUACUUAUCUCUGAAAUGAGGAUAUAUCUUACAUGUGGCCCUGUGGAAUGUCAUAAUUUAAUGUUUUUUUUUUCCUUUCUGUACCUAAUAUAAUGGUGUCUUAUAAUUAGUGCCAACUUAGAUUUGAUUUUAAAAUAGCAUUAUUCCCUAGUCCUUUUCAUUCUUUGAUUCUUCCAAUAAUUUGAUUCAUUAAUCCUCUGUAUUGAAACCUCCAGAACUUACUCUCUGUGUUUAUUUCCUACCACAGACUAGGUGGCAUUAUCAACAGAUAUUUAUCUUCACAUAGUUCUGGAGGCUAGUAGCUUAAGAUCAGUGUCAGCAGCUCUGAUUUCUUCUGAGGCCUGUCUCCUUGGCUUGCUGAUGGCUGCAUUCUCACAGGGUCUUUCCCCUGUGCUUGCCUCUGUCCAAAUUACCACUUCUUAUAAGGGUACCAGUCUGCCAGGUGCAAUGUCACACACCUGUAAUCCCAGCAAUUUUGAAGCCUGAGGCAGGAGGAUUGCACAUUCAAAGGCAGCCUCAGCAACUUAGUGAGUCCCUAAACAACUUGGUGAGAACUGUGUCAAAAUAAAAAGGGCUGGGGAUGUGGCUCAGUGGUUAAGCACCUCUGUAUUCAAUCCCUGUUACCAAAAACAAGGGGGGCGGGUACCAGUGAGAUAGGAUUAGGGUCUAUUUUAAUAAUCCCAUUUAAUCAUUGCUUUAAAGACUGUCUCUGAGUAUAGUUACCUUUGAAGUACGUAAAAAACAUGAAUUUUGUGGGGUACAAUUCUGCACAACACUCCCCUGUCCUUGUUUUCAGUUGAUCACUUUUUUUUUUUUGUAUAAAACACAGAUGAAUAAAAAAAUACCAUAGUUCCAUCUUUUGUAAUUGUCCUUACUUCACUAACUUCUUUCUUGUUACUGUGGAUAAACUAACUGUUCCUGGAAAAGCCCUGCUUGUCAGAGAACUUCCCUACAGCUCACCUUUCUCUCUUGCAUAUUUUUUCCCAUAUAAGUUUCAUAAGGGUCAGAGGUAUUUUAUUUUUUCUUGUUUUGUUGUGUUCUUCUUAGUUUUUAUACUGCUGCAGUUCUAUAUUCAGUGACUAAGAAUAAAAUGGAACAAAGUUCAAUCAGUCCAAGAAAUUCAUAGAACAUACAAGAACAAGAUGUUACUUGCUAAAGUAAGUUAUCAUUUGGAGAAAAAAAAAAAGAAAGAAACUUAGAUCUGGUACACAGCAAAGACAAAGAAGGUUAUCUUCCAGUAGAGAUCUGGAGUAGAACAAUUGGCAGAUCAAAGAAUGCACUUUACCAAUAGGAUCGUUUUCAAUUAGGGUAUGUUACAUGCAUAUGGUUUCAACCUGUGACUAUUUUGUUUUCAAUUCUCCUAAUGGAAAUUUCUUUUUCUUCUCUUUAUUGUUUUUCCCAAUGUUGUUACACAUUUUUUGCUACCACUGCAUGUUGAGUUUGGUGGAAUCAAUAAUUUAAUAAUAGUUUACCAUGGGGAGUUGUAUUGUAUUUAGUCCUGAAAAGAGAAGCUGGAGUCAGAGUACUAGUGGGAAUAUGCUGCAAACCUAGAAGAGUUAUUUCAGAAUAUGAUAGUAUGCUUGAAAUUGAUAUUAAUGUUGUUGGUGUUGAAAUUAUCCAGAGGUUUUCAAACUUUAAUCUGAAUAAAUACUGAGACUUUGAGUUGUCUAAUGAGGUGUUUUUUUGUUGUAUGUUAGGUAGACUUGGUUGUGAUUACUUUUAAAAGCAUAUGGAGAGGAUGGGGUUGUGGCUCAGUGGAAGAGCACUUGCCUUGAAUGUGUGAGGCACUGUG